CUCAAGUUGACAAUUACCGGCGUUAAGCGUGAUUAAAGUUCUCAAAAUUAGGGCCAAAUUAACACUCGGCAGUUUUAUGCUUGUUGUUAAGAAGCACACAAACGAAAGUUGUCCUAUAUUACCUUGAAUACACGACAGCUAGGAAAACAAACUGGGAUUAGAUACCCCACUAUGCCUAGCCGUAAACAAUUAACUUACACCCACACCGCCAGGGGAUUACGAGCAAUGCUUAAAACCCAAAGGAUUUGACGGUGUCCCACCCUACUAGAGGAGCCUGUUCUAUAAUCGAUAAUCCCCGCUUCACCUAACCAUCCCUCGCCUCCAGUCUGUAUACCUCCGUCGAAAGCUUACCAUGUGAACGCCCGCAGUAGGCUUAAUGAUCCACCAUCAGUACGUCAGGUCAAGGUGCAGCUUAAGAGAUGGCAAGCAAUGGGCUACAAUUUCUAAUUUAGAACAAACGAAAGACUAUGUGAAACCCUAGUCAUGAAGGUGGAUUUAGUAGUAAAAAGAAAGCAGAGUGUUCUUUUUAACCCGGCUCUGGGACGCGUACACACCGCCCGUCACCCUCUUCAAUAGUACCUCAUCUGUUCAUAACCCAACACCACAUUUUAGAAGAGGCAAGUCGUAACAUGGUAAGUGUACUGGAAAGUGCCCUUGGUAUACUA
rnacentral:rRNA from 1 species